GAGUUUGAUCCUGGCUCAGGAUGAACGCUAGCGGUUUGCCUAACACAUGCAAGUUGCACGGCGCCAUGCCUCUCGAGGAAUGGCGGAGUGGCGGACGGGUGAGGAACGCGUAAGGACCUGCCCCUGGGAGGGGGAUAACAGCUGGAAACGGCUGCUAAUACCCCAUAUCCUGAGGAGGGAAAGGAGAGAUCCGCCCAGGGAGGGGCUUGCGUCUGAUUAGCUAGUUGGGGGGGUAAUGGCCUCCCAAGGCAACGAUCAGUUGCUGGUCUGAGAGGAUGAUCAGCCACACUGGGACUGAGACACGGCCCAGACUCCUACGGGAGGCAGCAGUGAGGAAUCUUCCGCAAUGGGCGAAAGCCUGACGGGGCAAUGCCGCGUGGAGGAUGAAGGCCCAAUGGGUCGUAAACUUCUUUAGAUCAGAGACGAAGAGAUGACGGUACCUGAAGAACUAAGCAUCGGCUAAACCCCGUGCCAGCAGCCGCGGUAC
rnacentral:rRNA from 1 species